rnacentral:rRNA from 1 species
GAUGAACGCUGGCGGCGUGCCUAAUACAUGCAAGUCGAGCGAACAGACGAGGAGCUUGCUCCUCUGACGUUAGCGGCGGACGGGUGAGUAACACGUGGAUAACCUACCUAUAAGACUGGGAUAACUUCGGGAAACCGGAGCUAAUACCGGAUAAUAUAUUGAACCGCAUGGUUCAAUAGUGAAAGACGGUUUUGCUGUCACUUAUAGAUGGAUCCGCGCCGCAUUAGCUAGUUGGUAAGGUAACGGCUUACCAGGGCAACGAUGCGUAGCCGACCUGAGAGGGUGAUCGGCCACACUGGAGCGGGGACGCGGUCCAGACGCCUACGAGAGGCAGCAGUAGGGAAUCUUCCGCAAUGGGCGAGAGCCUGACGGAGCAACGCCGCGUGAGUGAUGAAGGUCUUCGGAUCGUAAAACUCUGUUAUUAGGGAAGAACAAAUGUGUAAGUAACUAUGCACGUCUUGACGGUACCUAAUCAGAAAGCCACGGCUAACUACGUG